rnacentral:rRNA from 1 species
UAACACAUGCAAGUCGAACGAUGAAAGAUUCUUCGGAAUUUGGAAGAGUGGCGAACGGGUGAGGAACACGUAAGAAUCUGCCCCUCGGUCGGGGACAACUCUUGGAAACGAGAGCUAAUACCCGAUACGCUGUGGAGUGAAAGAAUUUCGCCGAGGGAUGAUCUUGCGUCUGAUUAGCUAGUUGGUGUGGUAACCCCAUACCAAGGCGACGAUCAGUAGCUGGUCUGAGAGGAUGAACAGCCACAUUGGAACUGAGACACGGUCCAAACUCCUACGGGAGGCAGCAGUGGGGAAUUUUCCGCAAUGGACC